rnacentral:lncRNA from 1 species
UGAUAUAAUUAACGACAUAAUCGUAUUAUCAAUUAUAUCACUACCCUGAAAUAAAUUGGUUGUUAUGUAGUGAAGGAUAAUUUACUAUUGAUGUUUUGUAACAAACAUUGUUAGUAUGAUUUAUGUUCGUCCAAUCUUUGAUCAAGAGAUGGGGCACAAAACUUUCAAUUUCGUUUAGUCAAUUCCUUGAUUCAACAUAUUCUAC